rnacentral:rRNA from 1 species
UACGGAGGGUGCAAGCGUUAUCCGGAUUCACUGGGUUUAAAGGGUGCGUAGGCGGGCAGGUAAGUCCGUGGUGAAAUCUCCGAGCUUAACUCGGAAACUGCCAUGGAUACUAUUUGUCUUGAAUGUUGUGGAGGUGAGCGGAAUAUGUCAUGUAGCGGUGAAAUGCUUAGAUAUGACAUAGAACACAAUUGCGAAGGCAGCUCACUACACAAAUAUUGACGCUGAGGCACGAAAGCGUGGGGAUCAAACAGGGA